UAUAUAAACAUUAAAUAGGGCCUAUUUUUGCGAACUUUUUAAGGAACUUUUAAGAACUUUAGAAACUUCAGGAACUUUAUGAACUUUUG